rnacentral:rRNA from 1 species
UACAGACGGCGCAAGCGUUAUCCGGAAUGAUUGGGCGUAAAGCGUCUGUAGGUGGUUCUCGAAGUCUACUGUCAAAUCCCAGGGCUCAACCUUGGACAGGCAGUGGAGAACUCGGGGACUCGAGUACGGUAGGGGUAGAGGGAAUUCCUGGUGUAGCGGUGAAAUGCGCAGAUAUCAGGAGGAACACCGGUGGCGAAGGCGGUUCUCUGGGCAUUACCUGACGCUGAGGAGCGAAAGUGUGGGGAGCGAACAGG